rnacentral:rRNA from 1 species
UAGGGAAUCUUCGGUAAUGGACGAAAGUCUGACCGAGCAACGCCGUGCGAGUGAAGAAGGAUUUCGGAUCGUAAAUCUCUGUCGUUAGAGAAGAACAAGGACGUUAGUAACUGAACGUCCCCUGACGGUAUCUAACCAGAAAGCCACGGCUAACUACGUGCCAGCAGCCGCGGUAAUACGUAGGUGGCAAGCGUUGUCCGGAUUUAUUGGGCGUAAAGCGAGCGCAGGCGGUUUCUUAAGUCUGAUGUGAAAGCCCCCGGCUCAACCGGGGAGGGUCAUUGGAAACUGGGAGACUUGAGUACAGAAGAGGAGGGUGGAAUUCCGUGUGUAGCGGUGAAAUGCGUAGAUAUAUGGAGAAACACCAGUGGCGAAGGCGGCUCUCUGGUCUGUAACUGACGCUGAGGCUCGAAAGCGUGGGGAGCAAGCAGG